GGAAGGGUGGCAGAGAGGCCGAUCGCGGCGAACUGUAAACUCACUGGGGAAACCCCACGGUGGUUCGAAUCCAUCCCCUUCCACCA
rnacentral:tRNA from 1 species